rnacentral:rRNA from 1 species
AGUGAACGCUGGCGGUAGGCCUAACACAUGCAAGUCGAACGGCAGCACAGAGGAGCUUGCUCCUUGGGUGGCGAGUGGCGGACGGGUGAGGAAUACAUCGGAAUCUACUCUGUCGUGGGGGAUAACGUAGGGAAACUUACGCUAAUACCGCAUACGACCUACGGGUGAAAGCAGGGGACCUUCGGGCCUUGCGCGAUUGGAUGAGCCGAUGCCGGAUUAGCUAGUUGGCGGGGUAAAGGCCCACCAAGGCGACGAUCCGUAGCUGGUCUGAGAGGAUGAUCAGCCACACUGGAACGGAGACACGGUCCAGACUCCUACGGGAGGCAGCAGUGGGGAAUAUUGGACAAUGGGCGCAAGCCUGAUCCAGCCAUACCGCGUGGGUGAAGAAGGCCUUCGGGUUGUAAAGCCCUUUUGUUGGGAAAGAAAUCCAGCUGGUUAAUACCCGGUUGGGAUGACGGUACCCAAAGAAUAAGCACCGGCUAACUUCGUGCCAGCCGCCGCCGUAA